rnacentral:rRNA from 1 species
UACGUAGGGGGGCGAGCGUUGUCCGGAUUUAUUGGGCGUAAAGAGCGUGUAGGCGGCCAGGUAGGUCUGCUGUGAAAACUCGAGGCUCAACCUCGAGACGUCGGCGGAAACCAUCUGGCUAGAGUCCGGAAGAGGAGAGUGGAAUUCCUGGUGUAGCGGUGAAAUGCGCAGAUAUCAGGAAGAACACCCGUGGCGGAAGGCGGCUCUCUGGGACGGUACUGACGCUGAGGCACGAAGGCCAGGGGAGCAAACGGG